rnacentral:rRNA from 1 species
UCGCCAGACUCCUACGGGAGGCAGCAGUGGGGAAUAUUGCACAAUGGGGGAAACCCUGAUGCAGCGACGCCGCGUGAGUGAAGAAGUAUCUCGGUACGUAAAGCUCUAUCAGCAGGGAAGAUAAUGACGGUACCUGACCAAGAAGCCCCGGCUAACUACGUGCCAGCAGCCGCGGUAAUACGUAGGGGGCAAGCGUUAUCCGGAAUUACUGGGUGUAAAGGGAGCGUAGACGGCUGUGCAAGUCUGGAGUGAAAGGCGGGGGCCCAACCCCCGGACUGCUCUGGAAACGGUAUGGCUGGAGUGCAGGAGAGGUAAGCGGAAUUCCUAGUGUAGCGGUGAAAUGCGUAGAUAUUAGGAGGAACACCAGUG